CAGAAACCCGGAUAGCAAGGCGUUGAGUUUGUUCUUGAAACAUUUGCACCAGGGUGCAGUCAGCAUCUUGAUAUUCUGGAAUCUCCAUGGUGAAGGACCCUCAGUCUGUGAACGAAAUGCAGAGCGAACCUCAGAUGCCUUUUGACGAAAUCAAACCAUCUAGUCAGAAACACAGACUGUUGCAGCAGUUGUUACCCUAUUGACCCCAGUCAAACCUAAGAAGCUCAGAGAUAAAUACUGAUUUAGUUCUGCUAGUCUCUACAUACCGCCUGGUUUGGUCAGCACUUGCUCUGACUCUUUGAAUAUUAUGACGGAUGAAAUGAAUGACCUUGUUCAGAUCGAAAUGGCAGAAUGACACAUCACAAGAAUUCAAGCGGAAAGCCAGAAAUCAUGUCAACAGCCACAUUUUGUAUGUCACCAGCCAAGUUGUAUUCAAAGACAAACAAUAGUUUAUGCUCUAUUGUGUAUGUGACCAGCCAAGUUGUAUUCAAAGAAAAACAAUAGUUUACGUUUUAUUUUGUAUGUGACCAACCAAGUUGUUUGUAUAGGUCCCUGGUUUAACAAAGCAUUUAAAGUAUUUUUAAAAGCGCACAUUUUGCAUGUCUUUUCAAUGUCUUUGCCUGUAUUAUGAAACUUUCACUACAGAUGUUGAUCCUGAUGAUGGUAAAUAAAUGGGAAAUACAAUGUUAUCAAAGAUUUGUUAAGAUCGCCAAAGCUGUUUAAAUGAUGCUGGUAACUUGAACAAGAUUGAAAAAAAUAUUGGAGUGUUUUAAUGUUAUAAGACAUGUUUCAGUUGUCUGUUUUUAACCCGUUAAUAUAGAUUAGCUAAUGAAAAAUAUUUGUUCAGAAAGGUGUAAAAUGUUUACGCUUCAGAUUUUUGUCUAUCAACCUUCUGAAAACAAUACUAGUCAAUUGGCUCAUUGGGGUCGGUAUUCGAUCAUGAAUCUUUUUUUAGUAGCAUACUAUGUAUUUCAUGGGAAUAUAAAUAAAUUCUGGGCAAAAUUAUUUAAUCUACCUAAAAUAAUCGAUUCUGUAUUUACUACUAGUACUUUGUUGAUUUCAGUGGAUAUUGUUUGUUAAAUUAUUAGAGUAUGACUCUUGUUGAAAAGCUUUAAAUGAAACUGUGAAUUAAAAAAUAAAUAUUAAA